CCAAGUACCUAUAAAUACUGAGAGGUCUUCAAGACGUAAGCAUCUCUACCUUGUUCUCCAUCCUGAUAACAUGCAGUGGCUACGUGCUCUGGUGAUGGUGGUGGUGGUUGUGGUGAUGGUGAUGGCAGGUCAGGUCACCGCUAAAGCCUGCUGCGGGGGUCAUCACCACGGCGGAGGUCACCACCACGGGGGACACCACGGAGGGCACCACCACGGGGGGCACCACGGGGGACACCACCACGGAGGUCAUCACCACGGAGGUCAUCACCACGGAGGUCAUCACGGAGGUCAUCAUGGUGGAUAUUUUGGUUAUGGCAAGUAAAACGAACCUGACCUAACACAGCGGGCAGGACCUGAGGAAGGGUUAUAUUAGUCUCUCUCUCUCUCUCUCUCUCUCUCUCUCUCUCUCUCUCUCUCUCUCUCUCUCUCUCUCUCUCUCUCUCUCUCUCUCUCUCUCUCUCUCUCUC